UCUGGGUCAUUGGAUAUGUUCUCAUCCGAUGAUAAUUAUUAAUAUUCCAUCCGCAUACCUCCCCUUUCUUUGGGGAUGUAUAUAAAGUCCAGCGAAUGAGAGCCAAUCCACACACAGUCCUCGUGGUGAUCAUCUCUUGUGCAUCCAGUUCCAUCUCCAGCUCUCUCAUCUAACAAUGAAGGUCUUCAUCAUUCUUUGUCUCGUUGCUGCUGCUGCUGCCCAACGAGCUGAACUGCAGUACCAACCCGUCCCCUAUUCAUUCAACUACGUCGCCGAACUUGAAGACGGUGGUGGAAGAAGUUCUCACCGAAGAAUCUGGGGAUGGUGCAGGACGAGUGAGUGGAUCUUACACCGUCAAUAAUCUGGAAGGACACGCUAGAGUUGUCGAAUACGUUGCUGAUGAAGGUGGAUUCCGAGCCAACAUCAGGACCAACGAACCAGGCACAGACAACGCCGCUCCCGCUGAUGUCGUGAUUGAAUCUUCCGCUGAUGGAGCCGCAGCCCCUGCUGCUGCUAGGUCAUACUCCGCACCAGUUUCUGCUCUAGCUGCUCGCCCAGUUCCAGCUUCCGCUGGCGCAAAUACCGUUACAGACCCCAGAACUGGAGUCCGAUACGUUUUGGUCCCUGAUACCGAUCCCAGAGCUGCUCGUGGAAUCCCUGUCUAAAUAAUGGCACUGUAGUUAUACUCUAAUCACUUGCUUCCAAAUUAGAUACUAACG
rnacentral:lncRNA from 1 species